GCGACGAGCUUGGUCUGAUGAAGCCAAUUUAUUGUAGUUCUUCUAGUUGCUUCUUUAAUUCCCACUAGUAGGGAUGUGAUCAUCAGUGACGUUAACUUUUCGUCACUGAAGACGCCUAGAUCGUCACAGAGUUCCAUUUGUGACGAUUUUGUGACGAAAAUCACUUCGUCACAGAAGAUGCGUCACAUUUGAUCUAUUGUGACAAAAGCGACAUUUUCGUCACAGAUGUGUCUCCAUUCUGUGACGAAAUGUCUGCGGUCACAGAAGCUAAUUCAAUCUAUGACGAUUGGUUUUGGUCAUUAAUGAACCACCGUUUUCGUCACAAUCCGCCGUCUGCCAGUCGCCUCUGACGGUGUUGUUAACGGCGUCUGUGUUUUGUGACGAAUCGAUUUCGUCACAGAUGUACCCGUUUUCUCGUCAUAACUGGCCGUUUGCCAGCGUCCGGACGGCGUAUGCCACGUUGGCAGAUGACAUCAGCACUGACGUGGCUGCUGACGUGGAUGCUGACAUCAUUGAUUGCGUGGCAUCUGACGUCAUCGAUGACGUGGCAGCUGACGCAGUGGGUGACGUCAAGCUGACGUGGCGGAUGAUGUCAUUCUUUCAAAUCGUCACAUAUUACAAUUAGAAAUCGACAUAGAUGAGGCUUUGAAUUCGACACACAACAGGCUUUCCAUCGUCACAGAUUACAUUUAGAAUUCGACACAGAUCAGGCUUUGAAUUCGACACAAAACACGCUUUCAAUUGUCACAGAUUUACCAUCACUUUGGUCACAGAAGUGCAGAUAAUAUUUGAAUUCGAAUUUGCAAAAGAUACUAGAAUGACCACACAAUUCCAUAGAUUAAUAAAAGCAGAAUUCGCCACUAAGUGGACAACACAGAACUGAGUUCACAACAUCACAUCACACUACAGUUUGGUUUGCAGAAACAUAACAGCAUAUAAACUAAAGUUGCCAGCUAGGAGCAACUUUAGUUAUUGAGUACCCAAAAUGAGCAGGCCAAUCACAGCAUCAUUGACCAGCAUCCCUCAUGUCGAAGAAGAAGCGUUAGCAUGGAAGGUCAAGAGCUUCUUCAGGAGAGCAUUGUUCUCCUCCAACUCCUUGGUGUUCUUCUCUGUUUGCUUCUUGUACUCCUCUAGCUCCAUUUGUGUCCUCGCCUGCUUUUCCACAGCUUCUUCAUUUUUCUUCUUGAGCUCGUCGAGUUCAACUUGAACAGCAGCCACUGCUUCAGCUGCCAGUUCUUCGCGAAGCUCGCUUUCCUUUGAUGAAGAUGACUUGGAGGAUGUUGGUGUUUUGAUGCCAACACUCUUUAGGAAAUGGUGUGAGCUGUUCUGGGAGAGCACCUUGGACACGACCUGCACACUGGAUGGUGGCGUCUCACCUUCAGCAACAGGCCUUUUUUGGAGCUGGUAUGGCAGGUCUCGAAGGCCUCCAUGACAUCUAAUUCUUCAGUGAGAUCUAAGCUGGGUUCUUCUCUGUUUCUCUUCUGUUUCUGUGUCAUGGAUAAACAAUCAGAGCAUAGUGGUCAGAUCAAAUGCAAGAGAAGUUGUUAAGUGCAAAUGUGGAUGUAUUAAUACAAGGUAUUUUUGACUUACAUAUGCAUGUAAGUGUGCCACAUAGCAGCGAGAACCUGUAGUCUGAUGAUACUUCACUUCACUGCGGUUCCGCUUGUUCGUUGCACAUGUUUGCUACAAGAUAAUGAACAUGUCCGAUGAGAUCAUAUGGUCAAAAUGAGAAGAUCCUUUCAAAACUGAUUGGCAAAGAAUAAUAUAUGAAAAGAUCCACGUACCAUGCUCUUUGGAUCUGACCACUUUGCAAUUAGGUCCCUCCACUUUGCGUUACUCAUGUAAUCAACUGGAGAAGUUGUCCUAAUCUCAUUUGCAGGUACACCAUUGAAGUAUUUCUUCUUCAGAUGAUAACGCUGGUUUUUUAUCGCACCGCGCAUCAUAUCGGUGCAAGCUUCCUCUGUUGCCUUGUCUUUAGUGUUAAUGGCCAAGCGCCCCUAUGCAUACGACAAUUCCAUAGUUAGUUAUACAAUUCAGGUUAAGCAGUAUACAAGUUUACUGAACUGAUACAGUAAUGCACUUACAGAAAGGUUUGCCACAAACUUCUCGUAGUAUUUCUUGUCUUUCUUGUAAUCUUUCCAAUGAGUUAGGACAUGCAUGCUUUCCCGAAUGACGAGGCCAGCCUCUGAUGCAAACUUGGCUGCUUGAACUGGUUCAUGUGGCCUUUUUUUUCCUUUCUCAACAGUUAUGGGCAAUCUCCUUCCCAUAGCUUUAGUCAUCUUGUCCAGCUGUUUUCCCUUAGUUGGUUCCCUGGGUCUCCUUGGGGCUCGCUGUGCAGGACCUACAAAAAAGAAUUCACAUUUACUGAAAUGGUCUACAUUUAUGCAAAUCAGGUAAGGAUAUGCCAUAUUUGUAUGACUCAAAACUAUUACUUGCCUUCAGUGUCAAGACCAUCAGCUCCACUGUCUUCAUCUGCAGGUUCCCUGUCAUGAUCAGCAAGUCUCGGUGUCCUGUCCUGAUCAGCAAGUCCAGGUGUAGUAGAGCUGUCUGGAAUGUCAUCACGAGCAUCUGUAGGAUCCUGUACAGGGUCCCCAUUUCUCUCUGCAGUUUGAGCCCUUUUUGUUGAUCUUGUUUCAGCUCCAGAAGGCGGCACCUGUGAUUCGUCAGAUGCCCUCACUCUCUUGCUCCUACUUCCUGGAGCCAUGUUGGGAUUUCUCUUCCUCUUUGAAGCAAGGGAUUUCCCUCUAGCACUUGUAGCAUACUAUG